rnacentral:rRNA from 1 species
GUCAGAGGGGGGUAGAAUNCCACGUGUAGCAGUGAAAUGCGUAGAGAUGUGGAGGAAUACCGAUGGCGAAGGCAGCCCCCUGGGAUAAUACUGACGUUCAUGCUNGAAAGCGUGGGUAGCAAACAGGAUUAGAUACCCUGGUAGUCCACGCCCUAAACGAUGUCGAUUAGCUGUUGGGCAACUUGAUUGCUUAGUAGCGUAGCUAACGCGUGAAAUCGACCGCCUGGGGAGUACGGUCGCAAGAUUAAAACUCAAAGGAAUUGACGGGGACCCGCACAAGCGGUGGAUGAUGUGGAUUAAUUCGAUGCAACGCGAAGAACCUUACCUGGUCUUGACAUGUACGGAAUCUUUCAGAGACGGAAGAGUGCCUUCGGGAGCCGUAACACAGGUGCUGCAUGGCUGUCGUCAGCUCGUGUCGUGAGAUGUUGGGUUAAGUCCCGCAACGAGCGCAACCCUUGUCAUUAGUUGCCAUCAUUAAGUUGGGCACUCUAAUGAGACUGCCGGUGACAAACCGGAGGAAGGUGGGGAUGACGUCAAGUCCUCAUGGCCCUUAUGACCAGGGCUUCACACGUCAUACAAUGGUCGGUACAAAGGGUAGCCAAGCCGCGAGGUGGAGCCAAUCUCAGAAAACCGAUCGUAGUCCGGAUUGCACUCUGCAACUCGAGU